UGAGAUCAUCUUAUAAUGCUACCGUCAAUCAAAGCAAGAUAAGAUGCAUAAAGGAUUAACAUCACAUGCAAUCAAUAUAAGUGAUAUGAUAUGGCCAUCAUCAUCUUGUGCUUGUGAUCUCCAUCUCCGAAGCACCGUGCUUGUGAUCUCCAUCUCCGAAGCACCGUCAUGAUCACCAUCGUCAACGGCGCGACACCUUGAUCUCCAUCGUAGUAUCGUUGUCGUCUCGCCAACUAAUUGCUUUUACGACUAUCGCUACCGCUUAGUGAUAAAGUAAAACUAUUACAUGGCGAUUGCAUUUCAUACAAUAAAGCGACAACCAUAUGGCUCCUGCUAGUUGCCGAUAACUCGGUUACAAAACAUGAUCAUCUCAUACAACAAAUUAUAUCACAUCAUGUCUUGACCAUAUCACAUCACAACAUGCCCUGCAAAAACAAGUUAGACGUCCUCUACUUUGUUGUUGCAUGUUUUACGUGGCUGCUAUGGGCUUAGCAAGAACCGUUCUUACCUACGCAUCAAAACCACAACGAUAGUUUGUCAAGUUGGUGCUGUUUUAACCUUCGCAAGGACCGGGCGUAGCCACACUCGGUUCAACUAAAGUGAGAGAGACAGACACCCGCCAGCCACCUUUAAGCAACGAGUGCUCCGAACGGUGAAACCAGUCUUGCGUAAGCGUACGCGUAAUGUCGGUCCGGGCCGCUUCAUCUCACAAUACCGCUGAACCAAAGUAUGACAUGCUGGUAAGCAGUAUGACUUAUAUCGCCCACAACUCACUUGUGUUCUACUCGUGCUUAGCAUCAACGCAUAAAACCUGGCUCGGAUGCCACUGUUGGGGAACGUAGUAAUUUCAAAAAAAUUCCUACGCACACGCAAGAUCAUGGUGAUGCAUAGCAACGAGAGGGGAGAGUGAUGUCCACGUACCCUCGUAGACCGACAGCGGAAGCGUUAUCACAACGCGGUUGAUGUAGUCGUACGUCUUCACGAUCCGACCGAUCAAGUACCGAACGCACGACACCUCCGAGUUCUACACACGUUCAGCUCGAUGACGUCCCUCGAACUCCGAUCCAGCCGAGUGUUGAGGGAGAGUUUCAUCAGCACGACGGCGUGGUGACGAUGAUGAUGUUCCACCGACGCAGGGCUUCGCCUAAGCUCCGCAACGGUAUUAUCGAGGUGUAAUAUGGUGGAGGGGGGCACCGCACACGGCUAAAAUAUCGUAUAUCAAGUGUGUCUAGAGGUGCCCCCCUGCCCUCGUAUAUAAAGGAGCAAGGGGGAGGCCGGCUGCCCUAAGUGCGCCAAGGAGAGGGGGGGAGUCCUCCUCCUAGUAGGAGUAGGACUCCCCUUUCCUAGUCCAACUAUGAAAAGAAGGGGGGAAGGAAAGAGAGGGAGAGGGAGAGGGAAAGGGGGCUGCGCCCCCCUCUCCUAGUCCAACUAGGAUUCCUCCUGGGAGGGGGCGCACCACCUCCUGGCUGCUGCCCUCUCUCUCCCCUCAAGGCCCACUAAGGCCCAAUACUUCCCCGGGGGGGUUCCGGUAACCCUCCGGCACUCCAGUUUAAUCCGAAACUUCUCCGGAACACUUCCGGUGUCCGAAUAUAGUCGUCCAAUAUAUCAAUCUUUAUGUCUCGACCAUUUCGAGACUCCUCGUCGUGUCCGUGAUCACAUCCGGGACUCCGAACAACCUUCGGUACAUCAAAACUUCGGGUUCGAGAACUAUGUAGACAUGACCGAGACACCUCUCCGGUCAAUAACCAAUAGCGGAACCUGGAUGCUCAUAUUGGUUCCCACAUAUUCUACGAAGAUCUUUAUCGGUCAAACUGCAUAACAACAUACGUUGUUCCCUUUGUCAUCGGUAUGUUACUUGCCCGAGAUUCGAUCGUCGGUAUCUCGAUACCUAGUUCAAUCUCGUUACCGGCAAGUCUCUUUACUCGUCCCGUAAUACAUCAUCCCGCAACUAACUUAUUAGUCACAAUGCUUGCAAGGCUUAUAGUGAUGUGCAUUACCGAGUGGGCCCAGAGAUACCUCUCCGACAAUCGGAGUGACAAAUCCUAAUCUCGAAAUACGCCAACCCAACAAGUACCUUUGGAGACACCUGUAGAGCACCUUUAUAAUCACCCAUUUACGUUGUGACGUUUGGUAGCACACAAAGUGUUCCUCCGGUAAACGGGAGUUGCAUAAUCUCAUAGUCAUAGGAACAUGUAUAAGUCAUGAAGAAAGCAAUAGCAACAUACUAAACGAUCGGGUGCUAAGCUAACGGAAUGGGUCAUGUCAAUCACGUCAUUCUCCUAAUGAGGUGAUCCCGUUAAUCAAAUGACAACUCAUGUCUAUGGCUAGGAAACAUAACCAUCUUUGAUUAACGAGCUAGUCAAGUAGAGGCAUACUAGUGACACUCUGUUUGUCUAUGUAUUCACACAUGUAUUAUGUUUCCGGUUAAUACAAUUCUAGCAUGAAUAAUAAACAUUUAUCAUGAUAUAAGGAAAUAUAUAAUACUUUAUUAUUGCCUCUAGGACAUAUUUCCUUCAGGAAAGAAGGUUAAUCCUUUCUUACCCGCAAAAAUAAAAUAAAAUAAAAUAAAAUAAAAUAUUCCUUCCUUUCCCUUGUUACCACGGUGAUAAAGGAUUUUUUUUCUUAAUAAUUUGUUUCCUUUUUCUUCUUCCCGUUCUUAUUCUUCUUCUUGUUCCACAAAUACUUGUGUUAACUUAGCAUAAGAUAGCUGACCACACAUGUCAUGUGGUAAUUCGUUUCCUUAGCGAGGCUGUGGACUUAUGGAAAGAAUAUUAAUCCUUCCUUUCUCCAGUCACCACAACUACGAGGGUGUUUGUUUCCAGGGACUUAUUGGUUUAGGGACUUAAAAAAGUCCCUAUAAGUCUCAUCUAAACCAAACAGGAGGGACUUAUAGGGACUUAAAGUGGUGAUUUGGGACUUAUCAAAAAAGACUCUCAGGGAGGAACUUAUAGGGACUUUUCCAUCGAUUCCCCCUGCCCCGCACCUACCUUAUCGCUUCCCCGCAUCGCUCCUUCCCCGCAUCCCCGCUUCGCUACUUCCCCGCACCCUGCUCCAAUCGCCGCCGCUGCCGCCAGUACCCUGAACCGCCGCUGCCAUGGCCGACGAUGAGGAGGACCGGAUCCCCUUCUUCUCUCAGUUCCCCUCGCAUCAUCAGGCAUCCCGGGGCUCAUCCGCCGGCGGAAAUCUCGGGAGGGGAAUGGGAUUCUUGGAUCUCAACAACAACGUCGACGACUUCAAGGAGUUGGGCUCGUACCAGCAACUCCUCCUCGACCAGUCGGCCGGUCAUGGUCUUCCUCCUAGUGGACCUGGUCGUGGGAGGCCCGUGUCCCAGGGUGGAGGAGGCCGCACCCGGUCUCUGAACAUCGGAGGCCGAGCCGGCUCUCACCUGCGUCUGUUCGUUGCCUCAGGCGCAGCUGUCGUUGAGGGAAGUGUCAUAGGGCGUGGGAGGACCAUGUCGCAGGUCACCGGACGCGGUGUAGGUCGAGCCCAUGGGUCCUCAUCGGCCGACAGUAGAGGAAAAGCUGCGGGGAAGCAACGUGUGUCGUCAACUGCUGCGUCUUCAGAAGAUGUCGAUGAGAAUGAAGGCUUUGAAGAUGAAGAUGACAACAGUGCUUUUGGAGAGGUAAAUUUCUAAUUGGUAUACAUAGUUAGCUUUCUGUCACGGUGUGCAAAUUCAUCUUCUUUUUGUGCUAGCUAAUUGUGUGUACAAUGGUAUACCUUGGUGUAGAAUUUGAACCAGCUUGAUUCUACUUCUGUUUGAAUUGUGUACUUGUUAUUUUUUGUUUAGAAAAACAUUGCCAAGGCUGAUUGGACAAACGAGCAUAUUACUGUAUUUUGUAACAUCGCCUGUGAGGAAGCUAGGGAUGGGCACUAUGUGAAUGGUGUUUGGACAAGUAGAGCCUACAAUAACAUGAAGAAAAAAAUUAUCAGCGUGCUUGCCUCCUCCAUACUACCAAGCAAUUCAAAAAUUGCAUAACUAGACUCAAGAGCUACUAUACUGCUUGGGUGUGGUUGGGGCAGCAAACUGGUUGUGGCCGAACUGGAGAUGGAGCUAUAACCGCAUCGAAUGAGUGGUGGAAAAAAAUAAUUAAGGUACAUACAUUAUUCUGCAAAUUACAUCUGAAUUGCUCACACUUGGUUACAUUAUUUAGCCUUGUCCUAAUUACCUAACUAAUGUUGCAGGAUAGACCAGAUGUCAGAAAAUUCAAGGGUGGCAAUCCUGAGUAUUUGGAUAUGCUAAUAGAGCUAUUUCAAGGUGUGGCAGUUGAUGGAUCAUCAACUUAUGUGCCCAUAGAUGAAGAUGAAGAAGAAUAUGUUGUUGCCGAUGAUGGAAAUGAGGAGAGUCCAAUGAGCACCACCAGCAGGAAGAGGGGAAGCAGCGGCGGUGAAUAGUCAGCUUAAGGCCCAGGCAAGAAACACAAGAGCCCAAUGGUGAAACUAAUGACAGGGCUCAUCAAUACUAUGACUAGUGAGAACACUUCUAACAUGAUCACUGAAUAUGCAAACAAAAGGCAGGAAGCAAAGGACAAGGCAAAAGAGAAGAAAGCAAACAACACUAAGGAAUCCAUUACUCAUUAUCAACUGUUGGCAGUUCAAUGUGGUGCAGAAGAAACAAGUGUUGAGUACUUCAUGGCAACUCAACUGUUUGCAGAUGAGGCAAACAGAGUCAUAUUUCAGAACAUUUCAAGUGAUGAGGCUAGAUUGACUUGGUUGAAGAGGUGGUGCAUGAUGAAGAAGUUGUACUAGUGUAGUAGUGAUCUUGUUUGUCCUUUUUCUAAUAUAUGUAAUGGACCUGUACUGUGUGACCUUGUUAAAUGAUCAUUGCAUGUUAGUGUAUUUCAUAAUGUUUGCAUGUACUAAUGUUUUCAAGUUGAAGAGGUGGUGCAUGAUGAAGAAGUUGUACUAAUGUUUGCAUGUUUCAGGAUGAUGACAACAGUGUUGAUGGAAUCAGCAGUGAUGAUGGGAGCAGCAGUGAUGAUGAAGCACUGAUGUUGUUCAUGCACCAAAAAAGGAAGAGAAGAAUGAUGCAGAUGGCCUGCAUGAUUGGUAUGUACUACUUGGACUCUUACUGUAACAAAGGGCCUAGAAGAGUACCAAUAGAGUUUGGGCAUGAUUGGGUUAUGACUGUUGGAAAUAUGCCCUAGAGGCAAUAAUAAAUGGUUAUUAUUAUAUUUCUUUGUUCAUGGUAAUUGUCUAUUGUUCAUGCUAUAAUUGUGUUAUCCGGAAAUCGUAAUACAUGUGUGAAUACAUAGACCACAACGUGUCCCUGGUAAGCCUCUAGUUGACUAGCUCGUUGAUCAACAGAUAGUCAUGGUUUCCUGACUAUGGACAUUGGAUGUCAUUGAUAACGGGAUCACAUCAUUAGGAGAAUGAUGUGAUGGACAAGACCCAAUCCUAAGCAUAGCAUAAAGAUCGUGUAGUUUCGUUUGCUAGAGCUUUUCCAAUGUCAAGUAUCUUUUCCUUAGACCAUGAGAUCGUGCAACUCCCGGAUAUCGUAGGAGUGCUUUGGGUGUGCCAAACGUCACAACGUAACUGGGUGACUAUAAAGGUGCACUACGGGUAUCUCCGAAAGUGUCUGUUGGGUUGGCACGGAUCGAGACUGGGAUUUGUCACUCCGUGUGACGGAGAGGUAUCUCUGGGCCCACUCGGUAAUGCAUCAUCAUAAUGAGCUCAAUGUGACUAAGGCGUUAGUCACGGGAUCAUGCAUUGCAGUACGAGUAAAGAGACUUGCCGAUAACGAGAUUGAACAAGGUAUUGGGAUACCGACGAUCGAAUCUCGGGCAAGUAACUUACCGAUUGACAAAGGGAAUUGUAUACGGGAUUGAUUGAAUCCUCGACAUCGUGGUUCAUCCGAUGAGAUCAUCGUGGAACAUGUGGGAGCCAACAUGGGUAUCCAGAUCCCGCUGUUGGUUAUUGACCGGAGAGGCGUCUCGGUCAUGUCUGCAUGUCUCCCGAACCCGUAGGGUCUACACACUUAAGGUUCGGUGACGCUAGGGUUGUAGAGAUAUGUGUAUGCGGAAACCCGAAAGUUGUUCGGAGUCCCGGAUGAGAUCCCGAACGUCGCGAGGAGUUCCGGAAUGGUCCGGAGGUGAAGAAUUAUAUAUAGGAAGUCCAGUUUCGACCACCGGGAAAGUUUCGGGGGUUACCGGUAUUGUACCGGGACCACCGGAAGGGUCCCGGGGGUCCACCGGGUGGGGCCACCUAUCCCGGAGGACCCCGUGGGCUGAAGUGGGAAGGGAACCAGCCCCUAGUGGGCUGGGGCGCCCCCCAUGGGCCUCCCCCCUGCGCCUAGGGUUGGAAACCCUAGGGUGGGGGGGCGCCCCACUUGGCUUGGGGGGAAGCCACCCCCCCUUUCCCCUUGGCCGCCGCCCCCCACCCUAGAUGGGUCUUGGCCGGCGCCCCCCCUCCCAGGGGGCCUAUAUAAAGGGGGGGAGGGAGGGCAGCAACUUGACAGCCUUGGGCGCCUCCCUCCUCCCCUGCAACACCUCUCCCUCUCGCAGAAGCUCGGCGAAGCCCUGCCGAGACCCGCUACAUCCACCACCACGCCGUCGUGCUGCUGGAUCUCCAUCAACCUCUCCUUCCCCCUUGCUGGAUCAAGAAGGAGGAGACGUCGCUUCACCGUACGCGUGUUGAACGCGGAGGUGCCGUCCGUUCGGCACUCGGUCAUCGGUGAUUUGAAUCACGGCGAGUACGACUCCGUCAUCCACGUUCAUUGGAACGCUUCCGCUCGCGAUCUACAAGGGUAUGUAGAUGCACUCCUUUCCCCUCGUUGCUAGUAUACUCCAUAGAUGCAUCUUGGUGAGCGUAGGAAAAUUUUAAAAUUAUGCUACGAUUCCCAACAGUGGCAUCAUGAGCCAGGCCUAUGCGUAGUUACUAUGCACGAGUAGAACACAAAGUAGUUGUGGGCGUUGAUGUUGCCAAUUCUUCUUGCCGCUACUAGUCCUAUCUUGUUUCGGCGGUAUUGUAGGAUGAAGCGGCCCGGACCGACCUUACACGUACGCUUACGUGAGACUGGUUCCACCGACUGACAUGCACUAGUUGCAUAAGGUGGCUAGCGGGUGUCUGUCUCUCCUACUUUAGUCGGAACGGAUUCGAUGAAAAGGGUCCUUAUGAAGGGUAAAUAGAAAUUGGCAAAUCACGUUGUGGUCAUACGUAGGUAAGAAACGUUCUUGCUAGAAACCUACAAACCACGUAAAAUUUGCAACAACAAUUAGAGGACGUCUAACUUGUUUUUGCAGCAAGUGCUAUGUGAUGUGAUAUGGCCAGAAGAUGUGAUGAAUGAUAUAUGUGAUGUAUGAGAUUGAUCAUAUUCUUGUAAUAGGAAUCACGACUUGCAUGUCGAUGAGUAUGACAACCGGCAGGAGCCAUAGGAGUUGUCUUUAUUAUUUUGUAUGACCUGCGUGUCAUUGAAUAACGCCAUGUAAAUUACUUUACUUUGUUGCUAAACGCGUUAGCCAUAGAAGUAGAAGUAAUCGUUGGCGUGACGACUUCAUGAAGACACAGUGAUGGAGAUCAUGGUGUCAUGCCGGUGACGAAGAUGAUCAUGGUGCCCCGAAGAUGGAGAUCAAAGGAGCAAAAUGAUAUUGGCCAUAUCAUGUCACUAUUUGAUUGCAUGUGAUGUUUAUCAUGUUUUUGCAUCUUAUUUGCUUAGAACGACGGUAGUAAGUAAGAUGAUCCCUUAUAAUAAUUUCAAGAAAGUGUUCACCCUAACUGUGCACCGUUGCGAAGGUUCGUUGUUUCGAAGCACCACGUGAUGAUCGGGUGUGAUAGAUUCUAACGUUCGCAUACAACGGGUGUUGACGAGCCUAGCAUGUACAGACAUGGCCUCGGAACACACGCAAUACACUUAGGUUGACUUGAUGAGCCUAGCAUGUACAGACAUGGCCUCGGAAUACGGAGGACCGAAAGGUCGAGCAUGAGUCAUAUAGAAGAUACGAUCAACAUGGAGAUGUUCACCGAUCUUGACUAGUCCGUCUCACGUGAUGAUCGGACACGGCCUAGUUAACUCGGAUCAUGUUUCACUUUUAUGACUAGAGGGAUGUCUAUCUGAGUGGGAGUUCAUUGAGUAAUUUGAUUAAAUGAACUUAAUUAUCAUGAACUUAGUCUAAAAUCUUUACACUAUGUCUUGUAGAUCAAAUGGCCAACGUUGUCCUCAAUUUCAACGCGUUCCUAGAGAAAACCAAGCUGAAAGAUGAUGGCAGCAACUAUACGGACUGGGUCCGGAACCUGAGGCUCAUCCUCAUAGUAGCCAAGAAAGAUUAUGUCUUAGAAGCACCGCUAGGUGAAGCACCAAUCCCAGAGAACCAAGACGUUAUGAACGCUUGGCAAACACGUGCUGAUGAUUACUCCCUCGUUCAGUGCGGCAUGCUUUACAGCUUAGAACCGGGUCUCCAAAAGCGUUUUGAGAAACAUGGAGCAUAUGAGAUGUUCGAGGAGCUGAAAAUGGUUUUCCAAGCUCAUGCCCGGGUCGAGAGAUAUGAUGUCUCCGACAAGUUCUUCAGCUGUAAAAUGGAGGAGAACAGUUCUGUUAGUGAGCACAUACUCAGAAUGUCUGGGUUGCACAACCGCUUGACUCAGCUGGGAGUUAAUCUCCCGGAUGACGCGGUCAUUGACAGAAUCCUCCAGUCGCUUCCACCAAGCUACAAGAGCUUUGUGAUGAACUUCAAUAUGCAGGGGAUGGAAAAGACCAUUCCUGAGGUAUAUUCAAUGCUGAAAUCAGCGGAGGUGGAGAUCAGAAAAGAACAUCAAGUGUUGAUGGUGAAUAAAACCACUAAGUUCAAGAAGGGCAAGGGUAAGAAGAACUUCAAGAAGGACGGCAAGGGAGUUGCCGCGCCCGGUAAGCCAGUUACUGGGAAGAAGUUGAAGAAUGGACCCAAGCCUGAAACUGAGUGCUUUUAUUGCAAGGGAAGUGGUCACUGGAAGCGGAACUGCCCCAAAUACUUACCGGACAAGAAGGCCGGCAACACCAAAGGUAUAUGUGAUAUACAUGUAAUUGAUGUGUACCUUACCAGUACUCGUAGUAGCUCCUGGGUAUUUGAUACCGGUGCGGUUGCUCAUAUUUGUAACUCAAAACAGGAACUACGGAAUAAACGGAGACUGGCGAAGGACGAGGUGACGAUGCGCGUCGGGAAUGGUUCCAAGGUCGAUGUGAUCGCCGUCGGCACGCUACCUCUGCAUCUACCUACAGGAUUAGUUUUAAACCUCAAUAAUUGUUAUUUAGUGCCAGCUUUGAGCAUGAACAUUGUAUCUGGAUCUCGUUUAAUUCGAGAUGGCUACUCAUUUAAAUCCGAGAAUAAUGGUUGUUCUAUUUAUUUGAGAGAUAUGUUUUAUGGUCAUGCCCCGCUGGUCAAUGGUUUAUUCUUGAUGAAUCUCGAACGUGAUGUUACACAUAUUCAUAGUGUGAAUACCAAAAGAUGUAAAGUUGAUAAUGAUAGUCCCACAUACUUGUGGCACUGCCGCCUUGGUCACAUUGGUGUCAAGCGCAUGAAGAAGCUCCAUGCAGAUGGACUUUUGGAGUCUCUUGAUUACGAAUCAUUUGACACGUGCGAACCAUGCCUCAUGGGUAAGAUGACCAAGACUCCGUUCUCCGGAACAAUGGAGCGAGCAACCAACUUAUUGGAAAUCAUACAUACCGAUGUGUGCGGUCCAAUGAGUGUUGAGGCUCGCGGAGGAUAUCGUUAUGUUCUCACUCUCACUGAUGACUUAAGUAGAUACGGGUAUGUCUACCUAAUGAAACACAAGUCUGAAACCUUUGAAAAGUUCAAGGAAUUUCAGAGUGAGGUUGAGAAUCAACGUGACAGGAAAAUAAAGUUCUUACGAUCAGAUCGUGGUGGAGAAUAUUUAAGUCACGAAUUUGGUACACACUUAAGGAAAUGUGGAAUAGUUUCACAACUCACGCCGCCUGGAACACCUCAGAGAAAUGGUGUGUCCGAACGUCGUAAUCGCACUCUAUUGGAUAUGGUGCGAUCUAUGAUGUCUCUUACCGAUUUACCGCUCUCAUUUUGGGGCUAUGCUUUAGAGACUGCCGCAUUCACUUUAAAUAGGGCUCCGUCGAAAUCCGUUGAGACGACACCGUAUGAAUUAUGGUUUGGGAAGAAACCUAAGCUGUCGUUUCUAAAAGUUUGGGGAUGCGAUGCUUAUGUCAAGAAACUUCAACCUGAAAAGCUCGAACCCAAGUCGGAAAAAUGCGUCUUCAUAGGUUACCCUAAGGAAACUAUUGGGUAUACCUUCUACCUCAGAUCCGAAGGCAAGAUCUUCGUUGCCAAGAACGGGUCCUUUCUAGAGAAGGAGUUUCUCUCGAAAGAAUUGAGUGGGAGGAAAGUGGAACUUGAUGAGGUGAUAGUCACCCCUUCCGAACCGGAAAGUAGCGCAGCGCGGGAAGAUGUUCCUGUGGUGCCUACACCGACUGGAGAGGAAGUUAAUGAUGAUGAUCAUGAAGCUUCGGAUCAAGUUACUACUGAACCUCGUAGGUCCACAAGGACACGUUCCGCACCAAAGUGGUACGGCAACCCUGUCCUAGAAAUCAUGUUGUUAGACAAUGGUGAACCUUCGAACUAUGAAGAAGCGAUGGCGGGACCGGAUUCCGACAAAUGGCUAGAAGCCAUGAAAUCCGAGAUAGGAUCCAUGUAUGAAAACAAAGUAUGGACUUUGACUGACUUGCCCGAUGAUCGGCGAGCCAUAGAAAACAAAUGGAUCUUUAAGAAGAAGACAGAAUCGGAUGGUAAUGUGACCAUCUAUAAGGCUCGACUUGUCGCUAAGGGUUAUCGACAAGUUCAAGGGGUUGACUACGAUGAGACUUUCUCACCCGUAGCGAAGCUGAAGUCCGUCCGAAUCAUGUUAGCAAUUGCCGCAUACUAUGAUUAUGAGAUAUGGCAGAUGGACGUCAAAACGACAUUCCUUAACGGCUUCCUUAAGGAAGAGUUGUAUAUGAUGCAGCCGGAAGGUUUUGUCGAUCCUAAGAAUGCUAACAAAGUAUGCAAGCUCCAGCGCUCAAUCUAUGGGCUGGUGCAAGCAUCUCGGAGUUGGAACAUUCUCUUUGAUGAGAUGAUCAAAGCGUUUGGGUUUACACAGACUUAUGGAGAAGCCUGUGUUUACAAGAAAGUGAGUGGGAGCUCUGUAGCAUUUCUCUUAUUAUAUGUGGAUGACAUAUUAUUGAUGGGAAAUGAUAUAGAAUUCUUGGAAAGUAUAAAGGCCUAUUUGAAUAAGUGUUUUUCAAUGAAGGACCUUGGAGAAGCUGCUUAUAUAUUAGGCAUCAAGAUCUAUAGAGAUAGAUCAAGACGCCUCAUUGGUCUUUCGCAGAGUACAUACCUUGACAAGAUAUUGAAGAAGUUCAAUAUGGAUCAGUCCAAGAAGGGGUUCUUGCCUGUAUUGCAAGGUGUGCAAUUGAGCACGGCUCAAUGCCCGACCACGGCAGAAGAUAGAGAAAAGAUGAGUGUCAUCCCCUAUGCCUCGGCCAUAGGGUCUAUUAUGUAUGCCAUGCUGUGUACCAGACCUGAUGUAAACCUUGCCGUAAGUUUGGUAGGAAGGUACCAAAGUAAUCCCGGCAUGGAACACUGGACAGCGGUCAAGAAUAUCCUGAAGUACCUGAAAAGGACUAAGGAUAUGUUUCUCGUUUAUGGAGGUGACGAAGAGCUCGUCGUAAAGGGUUACGUCGACGCUAGCUUCGACACAGAUCUGGAUGACUCGAAGUCACAAACCGGAUACGUGUAUAUUUUGAAUGGAGGAGCAGUAAGCUGGUGCAGUUGCAAGCAAAGCGUCGUGGCGGGAUCUACAUGUGAAGCGGAGUACAUGGCAGCCUCGGAGGCAGCACAGGAAGCAGUCUGGAUGAAGGAGUUCAUUACCGACCUAGGGGUGAUUCCCAAUGCGUCGGGCCCGAUGACUCUCUUCUGUGACAACACUGGAGCUAUUGCUUUUGCGAAGGAGCCCAGGUUUCACAGGAAGACCAGGCAUAUCAAGCGUCGCUUCAACUCCAUUCGUGAAAGUGUUCAAAAUGGAGACAUAGAUAUUUGUAAAGUACAUACGGACCUGAAUGUAGCAGAUCCGUUGACUAAACCUCUCCCUUGAGCAAAACAUGAUCAACACCAGGACGCAAUGGGUGUUCGAUUUAUCACAAUGUAACUAGAUUAUUGACUCUAGUGCAAGUGGGAGACUGUUGGAAAUAUGCCCUAGAGGCAAUAAUAAAUGGUUAUUAUUAUAUUUCUUUGUUCAUGGUAAUUGUCUAUUGUUCAUGCUAUAAUUGUGUUAUCCGGAAAUCGUAAUACAUGUGUGAAUACAUAGACCACAACGUGUCCCUGGUAAGCCUCUAGUUGACUAGCUCGUUGAUCAACAGAUAGUCAUGGUUUCCUGACUAUGGACAUUGGAUGUCAUUGAUAACGGGAUCACAUCAUUAGGAGAAUGAUGUGAUGGACAAGACCCAAUCCUAAGCAUAGCAUAAAGAUCGUGUAGUUUCGUUUGCUAGAGCUUUUCCAAUGUCAAGUAUCUUUUCCUUAGACCAUGAGAUCGUGCAACUCCCGGAUAUCGUAGGAGUGCUUUGGGUGUGCCAAACGUCACAACGUAACUGGGUGACUAUAAAGGUGCACUACGGGUAUCUCCGAAAGUGUCUGUUGGGUUGGCACGGAUCGAGACUGGGAUUUGUCACUCCGUGUGACGGAGAGGUAUCUCUGGGCCCACUCGGUAAUGCAUCAUCAUAAUGAGCUCAAUGUGACUAAGGCGUUAGUCACGGGAUCAUGCAUUGCAGUACGAGUAAAGAGACUUGCCGAUAACGAGAUUGAACAAGGUAUUGGGAUACCGACGAUCGAAUCUCGGGCAAGUAACUUACCGAUUGACAAAGGGAAUUGUAUACGGGAUUGAUUGAAUCCUCGACAUCGUGGUUCAUCCGAUGAGAUCAUCGUGGAACAUGUGGGAGCCAACAUGGGUAUCCAGAUCCCGCUGUUGGUUAUUGACCGGAGAGGCGUCUCGGUCAUGUCUGCAUGUCUCCCGAACCCGUAGGGUCUACACACUUAAGGUUCGGUGACGCUAGGGUUGUAGAGAUAUGUGUAUGCGGAAACCCGAAAGUUGUUCGGAGUCCCGGAUGAGAUCCCGGACGUCGCGAGGAGUUCCGGAAUGGUCCGGAGGUGAAGAAUUAUAUAUAGGAAGUCCAGUUUCGGCCACCGGGAAAGUUUCGGGGGUUACCGGUAUUGUACCGGGACCACCGGAAGGGUCCCGGGGGUCCACCGGGUGGGGCCACCUAUCCCGGAGGACCCCGUGGGCUGAAGUGGGAAGGGAACCAGCCCCUAGUGGGCUGGGGCACCACCCAUGGGCCUCCCCCCUGCGCCUAGGGUUGGAAACCCUAGGGUGGGGGGGCGCCCCACUUGGCUUGGGGGGAAGCCACCCCCCCUUUCCCCUUGGCCGCCGCCCCCCACCCUAGAUGGGUCUUGGCCGGCGCCCCCCCUCCCAAGGGGCCUAUAUAAAGGGGGGGAGGGAGGGCAGCAACUUGACAGCCUUGGGCGCCUCCCUCCUCCCCUGCAACACCUCCCCCUCUCGCAGAAGCUCGGCGAAGCCCUGCCGAGACCCGCUACAUCCACCACCACGCUGUCGUGCUGCUGGAUCUCCAUCAACCUCUCCUUCCCCCUUGCUGGAUCAAGAAGGAGGAGACGUCGCUGCACCGUACGUGUGUUGAACGCGGAGGUGCCGUCCGUUCGGCACUCGGUCAUCGGUGAUUUGAAUCACGGCGAGUACGACUCCGUCAUCCACGUUCAUUGGAACGCUUCCGCUCGCGAUCUACAAGGGUAUGUAGAUGCACUCCUUUCCCCUCGUUGCUAGUAUACUCCAUAGAUGCAUCUUGGUGAGCGUAGGAAAAUUUUAAAAUCAUGCUACGAUUCCCAACAAUGACAACACUAGGCAACGAAAAAGCCUGUUACAACAUGUUUAGCAUGCACAGGCCAGUGUUUGAGAAAUUGCAUAGUGUGCUUGUUGAUUCCUAUGGUUUGAAGUCCACCAAAAAAAUGUCAUCUGUUGAGUCUCUAGGCCCGUUUCUGUGGAUAGUAGGUUCCCCUCAAUAUGUUAGACAAGCAGAAAACAGAUUUGUUAGGUCAUUGGAGACAAUUGUAAGGAAAUUUGAUAAGGUUUUGGCCUGUCUGAUCAAGCUAGCAAAAGACAUCAUCAAGCCAACAGAUCGUCAAUUCAGAACUGUGCAUUCAAAAUUAAGAUCUAGAAAGUAUGCACCAUUUAUGGACAAUUGCAUUGGUGCAAUAGAUGGGACACACAUACAAGUUGUGGUACCAGUUGCCACUGCUGCCCAGCAUAGGAAUAGACAUAAGGAGAAGAGUAAGAAUGUGAUGUGUGUGUGUGACUUUGAUAUGAGAUUCACAUUUGUCCUAGCUGGUUGGCCAGGUUCAAUGCAUGACAUGAGGGUCUUCAAUGAUGCCCGAUCCAGAUUUGGUGACAAGUUUCCAAAACCACCACCUAAUAAGUUCUAUCUUGUGGACUCAGGGUACCCAAAUAGACCAGGUUAUCUUGCACCAUACAAGGGUUUAACCUAUCAUUUCCAGGAGUACCGUGAUGGCACAAUGCCUAGAGGAAAAAAGGAACACUUCAAUUUCACCCAUUCUUCACUUAGAAAUAUCAUCGAGAGGUGUUUUGGAGUCCUGAAGAACAAGUGGAGGAUUUUGUUUCACUUGCCUAGUUAUCCACAACAGAAACAAAGCAAAAUCAUUGUGGCUUGCAUUGCACUGCACAAUUUGAUUAGACAAAGUCAACUACCCGAUAUAGAGUUCGACUUGUGUGAUCAAGAUGAAAACUAUGUACCAUUGUCUAUGCCAACGACUACAACAAAUGAUUCAACAAAUGAGAUGGACAGUGCUGCUAUGAAUCAAUUCAGAGCUUGGGCCGCUGAUGGGUUGUGGUCCUUGAAACAACAAUGAUAUGAACAAGUGUUCUUCGCUUAUGUAAUCUCUGUUAUCUCGGUUGUUAUGUAAUCUCUCUUAUUUCGGUUGUUAUGAACAAGUGUUGGCACAAACAAGUGUUACUUCGUUUGUGUGAACAAGUGUUAUUUCGGUUGUCACUAUUCUGUAAUUCAUUUGUAUGAACAAGUGUUUUAUUAUUAGAGGUAACAUGGACUUAUAAGUUUAUGUAAACAAGCAAGUAGGGACUCGGGACUUAUAAGUCCCUGUAAACAAACAGGUAGGACCCGGGACUUAUAAGUUGGGGCUUAAAAAGGUCCUAAGACUUACGAAACAAUACGUUUAAUGUAUCGAGUCUAUGGCUACCACGUCAAUACAAAGAAGGAUUGGGUUUGUUUAUUAAUUGGCGGAUGGCGAAAUUAGCAAGGAACGGCCCUCCCCGGUUAACGCCUGAUCCGAACCGACCAACGCGUGGGGGAGCCAAACCGACCGAGUCUGACGCGACGCGUUGGGAAUGGAAAGGAAAGCGAACGGACGGGCGCCGAGAGCAAAGCGGCAUUAUUAUUGCUGUGGGCCCACGCGCCUCACGCGUACUAGUAUAAAAAACACCCCUGCCAGAACCGGAUCUGACCAAGGAUUUACUUGUUUCCUCCUCCUCUCUAUUCCCCUCCCCUUGAGACCACACCACAUCACAGAGGCCGCGGCGGCGCCGGCGCCGGCGCUCCCAAUGACGUCGACCACGGCGACAGAAGGCACGUUUUGCUACUUGGCUGGCUGGUAUGCAUGGUCUUUUCAGCUCCCUUGAUUGAUCUUUUGGCCAUGGUUUUCAUCUGUGUCAAUCUACCUCGCGCAGUGGUCGGACACAAGGAGCUCGGGACGGCACAUAUGUUGUGCGGUGCAAGCAACUUCUUCUCUAUUGGAUUGGAUUGGAUUGGAUUUCCGCUGGUAAGCAUAAAUUUUCACCUCCGUUGUUCCGUCGGUAUAGUUGUUGUAUCCAUCCAUCCUGCUCAUCCGUCAAUCCAAUUUUUGACGCAGAGAACACGGCAAAGACCGCCAUCCACACCACACCACAGGACGUGUCCGGCGGUCCACUGGGCCAAAGGCCAGAUCUCGGCCCAGGCUACCCCGUACGCAUGAUGUGCGCAGGCCCAACCCGCCGCCUGUGAUCCACCGGGCUCGUUAUUGGGUGGACGGGCCUGGCUAUGGAUGGAUCUGGCCCAACAGGUGCCAUCACCUCCCGACCCAGCGCCGUCUCUCUCUUUCGGGGGAGGAAAGGGCGAGAGGUCGAGGGGCGGCGGCGACGACAGCGUCGACCGGUGGCGGAGGCGGCCGCGACCACCUCAACCCCCCGUGACCAGAGGUACUUGACGCGUCUCUCCCUCUCCUUAUCCCCCCAUCAUCUCUCUCCCUAGGUCUCAUAUCUCUGUCAAACAGCCGGCCAUCAAUCCGCCAUAGCUUUUCGGGGGAACGUGGUGAGGUCGAUCUGACCGGCGGUGAUCUGUUUUGGAGGCGGCCGUCCCCAGCCCAAGCUCGUCUGCCUAAGGUACCUUACCUGCAUUUCGAGUUCCCACCCUCCCUGUAUCCUCUCUCUCUCAACAGCCCUUCAUCAAUCCGCAUCUCAAAUUUGGUUAGGUCGACGGGAAGACGGGGCUGAGGCUGCAUCUGCGGGUUAUAUCUGUUGAGGACGCUGCCUUUCUUCCAACGAAAGCUUUCUCGGAUGGCCCCCAAGGAGCAAAGACUUCACGCUGAUCUGUUCAAGGUGACCCACCAGAAGGUGGUUGAUGCCAUCAGGGCAAACAUAACUAAUCAGACCUCAUAUGAUGUAAGAUGUAAUUGUAUUAUCUUGAUUGGUUAGGAUGUUGAUUUCUUUUUCAGUUUUGCUAAAGCACAUUUAGAUGUGCCCAAGUAUUUGCACAUCUAAGUCAUACCAUUGAUUUUACAUGAAAAUUUGUGCAUACAUUUUCUUUGUCUUUUUCCUUUUUCUUUGCAGUGUGAUUUGGUCACUUACAUGUGCAAUAACUUGGGCACUAGACAAACCCUUUCUUUUUCCUGAUCAGUUUUUUAUUUAGUGUUCUUCUCUUUUUCUUACAGCAAAUUAAGAUUAUCCAACUCAGCUGCGAGCCGACAGAUGAAGAAUUGUUGAUGUUUUAUGCGGAGGUCCAUAAUCACCUAUUGGAGGUGGCUUCCCUUUCUAUCAACAAGAACGUUGAUUUCUUUGCGCCAGAGGAGGGAUUCGCGGAAGGCUUUGUUCCUGAGAUUGCAGAAGGACUACCAGUUUUAAGGCCUCAAACUAAGGUACAUUCCCCUUUUUCUGCCAAGCAUCAUGGGUCUGCCUUUCUCUGCCUAUCACCUUUCCAUCAUGGUUUGAGAUGAAUCACAAGUGAUCUUGAUUACAUAUGCAUUCAAUUGUAGUUCAAUAAAAGUAAUUUUUACAAUGCUUUUGAACAGUUUUUAACUUUCUUGCAAAUGAUUUGGUUUUAAUGGAAGUUUUGUCUUUGUGUGCAGAAUAUAUCAUAUUUCAUUGUCGAGUUUGUUGGUGGUCCUGGAGAACCACGCCUGCAAUUUGCUGUUCGCCAUGACAAUCUGUACUGUGUCGGUUUCCGGGUGUUGUCUGCCAAUGAUAACGCAAAAACCAAAGAUUGGUCCUCUUUUGGUGAUGUUAACCUUUUGAAGUGUGCUGCAUUUCCUAAUGUUGAGGCAUCUAGAUUGUCAGAGAGCUAUAAAUCUUCGUAAGUUUGUGCUUGUCCUGUAAUUCCUUAUUUGAACAAAGUUUGGAGCAAUUGUCAUGUUUAUAGAUUUUGCUUUAGUUGUUAAUAAAUUUUGCACUUGUUUCAUUUUUCAGCAAAUCAGUGCGAAUAUACCCCAUGGUUUUCCGACGAAUAUAUAUGUACUUCUCCAAAUACACUUGCAAUUCUGCUGUAGCUGUUGGGGAAUUGUUAAAAGACACAUUGUUUGUUGUUAUCUGUGAGGCAAGUCGCUUUGGGUUUGUCCAAAGGUUGACUUUUCAAGGAAUGCAUGCUUUCGAAGUUCCGGUUGGACUCACUGAUUUGAUGGAUAAUAUUAUUCAUGAUUACAAGGAUUUGUCAUUAGGGGCACUGUUGAUAUAUCUGUAUGACCUAGAAGAGAAAUUGAGCGUGGCUGAGAGAUCACGCUACCAAACUGAAGAUCAACUAGCAGCUGCACUAGUUGGAUUCAACAGUUACGCUCUGCAUGUGAAUCUCAGGGGAUCUGAUGGUCUUUAUGCUCCGAUGUUCGAUAGUGAGGUUGUUAGGCUUAUCCAUAUGAGGCUUCGGAACUUUGACAAAAAUAUCCGCAAGUAAGUCCCGUCCCUCUCUGUUGUAUGUCCUUUGCAUUUCUAAGUUGGUUGUUCUAAUCUGCUGUCUACGUGCAGAUUGACUGAUGUUUCUUAUUGAUUGCUGCUGAUUUGCUGAGAAAUGGCUCCUGAUGAUGAUUCAAUCUUUAUUCCAAGUUAUCCAUAUGAGGCUUUUGAAGUUUAAUCUCUGGUGCUGUGUUGUCCCUCCCUCAUAUCAAUUGCUUUGAAAUGGCUCCUUAUGAUGAUUCAAUCUUGAUGAUGGCCUCUGCUUCUUGAUGGCCGUUUUCUAUGAUGUCCCUGCUUCUUCCUGAUGGUAGCCCAUGUGAUUUUGGCUGCUGUAGAUGACACUGGCCUUGUUAUUUGUUCAUUUUGUCCUUUCUCAGACAGUGGCUUUGCCGUUUUUGAGCUUGUGGCUGAUACUCCUUAGGCUAUAGUUUACUGAAGUAGAAUUUCGUCAUGCCUGUGCUCAGUGUAUUUUUUGUUGAUUGUGCCUUGUGUACCAUGGAAUUGCUGGCUGAUACUGCCUUGGGCUGCUAGUUUACUGAAGUAGCAUUCCUCUAUGCUCAGUGUAAUGUUGUUGCUACUCACUGAAAAGCUCACUUUAUCAUUUCUGGGUAGCCUGAGGAUAAUGAAAUAC
rnacentral:lncRNA from 1 species